GUCGAUCGCCCGUGCUGACUCUGGAUCUGCCACUGCCUCCGUCUCUUUAACUUUAUGCUCCCAGACACCCGAGUUUUCACUCUGUGUAAACCCAAACCCCAUAGCUAGGUGAGGUUGAAUCAAGGAAGGCGGGGUUUUUUUCUACACCGUCUUCUCAUCCUCCUCUUUCAGGUAAAUUUUUUCUUUUUCCGUUUGUACUUUUGGUGAAGCUUGCUUGUUUAUUGGUUGCACGAAAUUUCGGAUAUGGCUUUUUGAGCAUAGAGAAGCAGAGUCAGAGACAGAGACUUCCAUGUAUAAGCACGGAACCUCCAUUCUAUAUUUAGUCAAAGCUCACGCCACCACCAUCGUAGUAGGCGAAAUGGGCAGUAGUAAGACACGCAGAUUCCACACGUCCCUUUUCGAAACUUCUGAUUUUGUUGACAUAUGCAUAUCCGUAUUUUAUCUAGGGUUUAAGUUGCGGGGUGUAAAUGCAAUUUUGAGUUUUGGAUCGAAAGUGAAUUAUUUUAGUUAAAAUUGCUGUUGUAUUUGUUAAAAUUGGGUGUUCAGUAUCUCAAAGAAUCUGGAUGGAACGAAGUUGGGGGCUUGACAGCAUGCAGACAACCAAGAAGAUUUGCUGUUUAGAUGAGCUCCAAUUCCUCAUCUAGGUAGUCACAGGGUGAAUGUUCAUGACAAGGCAGAUUUCCAUGACAAGUAAUCAUGAGUUGCUUCAAGAGUUACUGAAGAUAUGAGUGUCAAGCUUGGCGACGAAGUUUGUUAUACAAUUCAAUUUGAAGAUGUCAUCAUAAUAACACGUUUUGAGAAGGAUAAAAUUUUUCUCUGAUGGAGUGUUAUGUGUUACUGGGAGAAAUGAUGGAUGAUCCACUCUUAAGCAAGUAUAGGUAGGCUUAUGCUUCUCAAAGAGUCCAUAUACUCACACAUAUAACACAUGCAACUUUUCUCUUUUCUUCUCUCACAAAAUCAUUUGCACUAAAUAUUUAUGUCCAUAAAAUAUUUUUGACAAAAUUUUGUUAGUUUAAUUCAAGUCCACUUAUCAAAUUUUCAGUAAUUAUCAUGAAAGUAUUAACAAACAACAAUCUGGAUAUAGCUGUUUUCCUGAAUGCAUCACUAUUCAACAUUAACUUCACUUCAAAUGUUACUCUCCACCUUCACACGUUUUAACUUCUAAUUGCACUUAUUCCUUCAUGGUUUCAUUUCAAAAACUUCACUUUUCACCUUCUUAAGAUAUCAUACAUUUUUAUUAUCCUUUUCAGUGAACAUUUUGAAUUUUAAUGCUGCUUAAAUUUAUCGGUACAAAUGUAUCUACAACUAUCAUCUUGACACAUGUAUGGACGCAAACUAUUUCAGAUUGUCGUUUACAGGUAAGACUUAUCAUCAUAAUAAUGUGUUUGCACGGAUGUGCGUUGCAUAUCUUUUCAUUUGCUAAUUUAAUAUCUAUCUAUAUGUAUACAUGCCUCUCAUUGUUAUAUAUUAUACAUCUUUGCAUUUUUCAUUUUGUGAUGGUAACACACUAAAUCAAGUCUUUAUGUAGAUGUUGAACUCGCAACCUGGCCUUCCAUUUCAAAUGUUAUACUUCUACACGUUCAAAGUGGAAUUUUAAACUAUUCCAUGUUAUUGUCAAAUUUAUGCAUUUGAGUUUCUCAAAUUGCUCCCAUCUUAAUUUACGUAUUAUUUUUAAUUAUAAUUAUACCCAAUUAAGUACAAACUAGAACACGAGUUAAUGCUUUCCAGGUUUCGAACAGUGUAUCAAAUUUGGACAAACUUUCAAGGAUGUGCUUUAUUGUUAAGUGAUUAGGCUUAGCUUAUAUAGAUAACUGUGAAUAUGCACUUGACAUAUUUGGUUCAUUUUCUUUCUUUAUGGGUCCCAACUUCUCUCAGGGAUGGUGUGAGCGAAUCACAGUUUGCUCGAGUUAUGAGCGUUGAACAAUAUCUUCUCAUACAAAUCAUUCACCAUUGGUUCGAAUCUGCAAAACAUAAAAUUUAUGUUCGUCCAGUGUCGAUUUUAUUUACCACAUCUGGGGCAAGUUUGGCCCUUUAUAUUGUUCUAAUCAUCACCCCUUUUAUUGUUUUGUGCCCCUUGUAUUACUAUUACCUGAAGCAUCUGGUGAAUUAUUUUUGGCUCGGAUUGCUCACUUGUAUUACUAUUACCUGAAGCAUCUGGUGAAUUAUUUUUGGCUCGGAUUGCUCACUACUACUGUUGGUUUCAUGGUGGGCUUCACUUGUGCAUUCAGCAGUGUUUCAAAGAAGGUGGGAUUCCUCCUAAAAUCCUUAUCAUAGAUGAUGGGUGGCAAGAAACUGCGAAGAACUUCAAAAGGAAGCCCAACGUCUUGUUGAAGGAACUCAGUAUGCCCUCGCUGCAAGAUCUUGAAAGCUUUUGUAAUCCUUGAAAAUCAUGAUAUUAAUAAUGUUCUGUCACUAACUUUUGUAUAGAUUUGGAACAAGAUUAAUCGAUAUCUAUGAAAAUAGCAAGUUUAAGGGCUCCGAAUCAGAAGGUUCAUCUACUAAUCUACUAAUCUCAAAAGAGUUUAU